GUAUCUUCCACCUGGAACCAUUAACAGGUGUGUGGGGGCGGAGGGAAGCCUUUUGGCUGAACACGGUGGCAGCAGGAGGUCGUGCACAGGCGAUGUUUCCACCUGAGCGAUGCUUCCAUGCUGCGGGCCGUGCUUAAUAAGCAGCUGUUCGGUGCGUCGAUGCCCGCCAAGCACUCUCUGGGUCCAUCCAGAAGUCACAAAGUCCAGUUGGACCCUGGACGUAGCGGCAGGAGCAGCAUACCA
rnacentral:lncRNA from 1 species